CGAGUAAUGUCGGGAACUCCAGGGAGACUGCCGGUGAWAAACCGGAGGAAGGUGGGGACGACGUCAAGUCAUCAUGGCCCUUACGAGUAGGGCUACACACGUGCUACAAUGGCGCAUACAGAGGGCAGCAAGCCAGCGAUGGURAGCGAAUCCCAAAAAGUGCGUCGUAGUCCGGAUUGGAGUCUGCAACUCGACUCCAUGAAGUCGGAAUCGCUAGUAAUCGUAGAUCAGAAUGCUACGGUGAAUACGUUCCCGGGCCUUGUACACACCGCCCGUCACACCAUGGGAGUGGGCU
rnacentral:rRNA from 1 species